GUCUGGGUGGCUCAGUCAGUUAAGCAUCUGACUUCAGCUCAGGUCAUGAACUCAUGGUUCAUGGGUUCGAGCCCCACUUCAGGCU
rnacentral:tRNA from 1 species